UCCCUGGAGGACUAGUGGUUAGGCCGGGGCGCUCUCACCACUGCGGCCCGGGCUCGAUUCCCCGCCAGGGAA
rnacentral:tRNA from 1 species